rnacentral:rRNA from 1 species
UACGUAGGGUGCAGGCGUUAAUCGGAAUUACUGGGCGUAAAGCGUGCGCAGGCGGUCUGCUAAGAGAGAUGUGAAAUCCCCGGGCUUAACCUGGGAACUGCGUUUCUAACUGGCAGGCUAGAGUGUGGCAGAGGGGGGUGGAAUUCCACGUGUAGCAGUGAAAUGCGUAGAGAUGUGGAGGAACACCGAUGGCGAAGGCAGCCCCCCUGGGCUAACACUGACGCUCAUGCACGAAAGCGUGGGGAGCAAACAGG